rnacentral:rRNA from 1 species
UACGGGGGGGGCAAGCGUUGUUCGGAAUUACUGGGCGUAAAGGGCUCGUAGGUGGCCAACUAAGUCGGACGUGAAAUCCCUCGGCUUAACCGGGGAACUGCAUCCGAUACUGGAUGGCUUGAGUUCGGGAGAGGGAUGCGGAAUUCCAGGUGUAGCGGUGAAAUGCGUAGAUAUCUGGAGGGACACCGGUGGCGAAGGCGGCAUCCUGGACCGACACUGACGCUGAGGAGCGAAAGCCAGGGGAGCAAACGGG